UACAGAGGGCCCGAGCGUUGUUCGGAUUCACUGGGCGUAAAGGGUGCGUAGGUGGCCUGAAAAGUUUGAUGUGAAAGCUCAGGGCUUAACCCUGAAAUGGCAUUGAAUACUGUCGGGCUGGAGGGUUGGAGGGGGGAUUGGAAUUCUUGGUGUAGCAGUGAAAUGCGUAGAUAUCAAGAGGAACACCAGUGGCGAAGGCGAGUCCCUGGACAACACCUGACACUGAGGCACGAAAGCUAGGGGAGCAAACAGG
rnacentral:rRNA from 1 species